CAGCAGCCGCGGUAAUACGGAGGGUGCAAGCGUUGCUCGGAAUUACGUGGGCGUAAAGCGUACGCAGGCGGUCUGAUAAGUCGGGUGUGAAAGCCCCGGGCUCAACCCGGGAACUGCAUUCGAAACUGCCAGACUUGAGUUUGGGAGAGGGAAGUGGAAUUCCUGGUGUAGAGGUGAAAUUCGUUGAUAUCAGGAGGAACACCGGCGGCGAAAGCGGCUUCCUGGCCCGAUACUGACGCUCAUGUACGAAAGCGUGGGGAGCAAACAGGAUUAGAUACCCUGGUAGUCCACGCCGUAAACGAUGAGUGCUAGAUGUUGGAGGUAUUCACCCCUUCAGUGUCGAAGCUAACGCAUUAAGCACUCCGCCUGGGGAGUACGGCCGCAAGGUUAAAAACUCAAAGGAAUUGACGGGG
rnacentral:rRNA from 1 species